rnacentral:tRNA from 1 species
GUAGCAUAGUCGUCAAGUGCUACUGGCUGCUAACCAAAGGGUCGGCAGUUCGAAUCUGCCC